CGUUCUUGAAAUUUAAAAGAUUUGGCGGUAUUUUAGUCUUUUUAGAGGAACCUGCCCUAUAAUUGAUAGUCCACGAUUUAUUGUACUUGAAUUAAAAGUUUGUAUAUCGUCGUAGUUGAAUGCCUUAUAAGAGAUAAUAGCAUUCAAUAUUUAUUAUUUAAUAAAUUAAAUCAGAUCAAGAUACAGCGUAUAUUUAAGAAGAGGUGGGUUACAAUAAGUUUACUUUUGGUUAUAAUAAUUAAAAUUAUUAUUUAAAUUGGAUUUAAAAGUAAUAUACUUUAAUUAAAGUGUGUGAUUUAAGCUCUGAAGUAUGCACAUAUCGCCCGUCGCUUCCAGUGAAUCUGUUAAAUUGGAAUAAGUCGUAACAUAGUAGGCGUACCGGAAGGUGUGCCUAGUUUGCUACAAAUUAAAGCUUUAAAGAGUAUUUUAUUUACAUUAAAAAGGUAAUUGUGAGAAUCAAUUUAGUUUGAAUUUAAAUAUUUAUUUAUUUUAAUAUAUUUUAAUUAUUUAAAAGAAAUAUUUUUUUGUUUAUUUAUUAAUUUAGGUAAAAUUAUUUAUAAUUAUAGUUUAUUAGUAUAGUGAUAGAAUUAUUGAAAAGUUUGAAAAUUUAAAUAGUUAAAAGAAAAUGUAAUAUUUUGUACCUUGUGUAUCAGGGUUUAUUAAAUAUAAAUUAUGGAUCUUUAAUUUUCUCGAAUUUAAAAGAGCUAAGAAAUUAUCUAUUUUAUUGUGAAAUAAAUAUUUAAAAUAAUUUUUUAGUAAUGAAACGUUAUUCGUUUUUAAAUAUAUCUAGUUUUUUAAGAAAUAAAUUUAAUUUAGUUAAUUAUUUUUAUAUAAAUAAUUUUUUAUUUUUAUUAAUAUGAUUAAUUAAUAUUUUAAGGGAUAAGCUUUAAAAUAAAAUUUUUAUAAAUUUAUUUAAAUUUAAAAUAUAAAUUAAUAGGAUUAGAAUUUUUUAUUUGUAAUAAUAUGUUAUAAUAAAUUUAUAUUUUUAAUUAAAUUUUUAUAUAAUUUUAAAUUUUAUAUUAAAAUUAUUUAUUUAAUAUUAAAAUAUAUGUAAUAAUGAUAAAAUUAGUAUAAUGUUUUGUUUAAUAAAAUUUUUAAAUUAAGGUUAAAUUAAGGAAUUCGGCAAUUUAUUUUUCUGCCUGUUUAUUAAAAACAUGUCUUUUUGAUUAUAAUUUAAAGUCUAACCUGCCCAAUGAGGUUUUAAAUGGCCGCGGUAUUUUGACCGUGCAAAGGUAGCAUAAUCAUUAGUUUCUUAAUUAGGAACUGGUAUGAAUGGUUGGACAAGAGAAAUACUGUCUCAGUUUAAUUUUUAUUAGAAUUUUAUUUUUAAGUUAAAAAGCUUAAAUGAAUUUAAAAGACGAGAAGACCCUAUAGAGUUUAAUAUUUUAUCAUUUAUUUGAAAAUUUAAGUAUUUAUAAAUUUAAUUAUAUAAUAAAAUAUUUAAUUAGGGUGAUUAAAAAAUUUAUAUAACUUUUUUUAUAUUAUUACAU
rnacentral:rRNA from 1 species